rnacentral:misc_RNA from 1 species
UACGUAGGGUGCAAGCGUUGUCCGGAAUUAUUGGGCGUAAAGAGCUCGUAGGCGGUUUGUCGCGUCUGCUGUGAAAACGCGAGUCUCAACCUCGCGCCUGCAGUGGGUACGGGCAGACUAGAGUGUGGUAGGGGAGAUUGGAAUUCCUGGUGUAGCGGUGGAAUGCGCAGAUAUCAGGAGGAACACCGAUGGCGAAGGCAGAUCUCUGGGACAUUACUGACGCUGAGGAGCGAAAGCGUGGGGAGCGAACAGG